rnacentral:rRNA from 1 species
UACGAGGGGGGCAAGCGUUGUUCGGAAUUAUUGGGCGUAAAGGGCGCGUAGGCGGUGCGGUAAGUCACCUGUGAAAACUCUGGGCUCAACUCAGAGCCUGCAGGCGAAACUGCCGUGCUGGAGUGUGGGAGAGGUGCGUGGAAUUCCCGGUGUAGCGGUGAAAUGCGCAGAUAUCGGGAAGAACACCCGUGGCGAAGGCGGUUCUCUGGGACGGUACUGACGCUGAGACGCGAAAGCGUGGGGAGCGAACAGG